ensembl:lncRNA
AAACUGGGUCUAAACCGGGACUAAACCAGGACUAAACCUGGACUAAACCAGGACUAAACCAUGACUAAACCAGGACUAAACCAGGACUAAACCAGGACUAAACCGGGACUAAACCAGGUCUAAACCGGGACUAAACCGGGACUAAACCAGGUCUAAACCGGGACUAAAACAGGACUAAACCGGGUCUAAACCGGGACUAAACCGGGACUAAACCAGGACUAAACCAGGACUAAACCAGGUCUAAACCAGGACUAAACCAGGACUAAACCAGGUCUAAACCAGGACUAAACCAGGACUAAACCUGGACUAAACCAGGACUAAACCGGGACUAAACCAGGACUAAACCAGGACUAAACCAGGACUAAACCAGGACUAAACCAGGACUAACCCAGGACUAAACCAGGACUAAACCAGGACUAAACCAGGACUAAACCAGGACUAAAC